UGGGGAAUAUUGGACAAUGGGCGCAAGCCUGAUCCAGCCAUGCCGCGUGAGUGAUGAAGGCCCUAGGGUUGUAAAGCUCUUUCACCGGUGAAGAUAAUGACGGUAACCGGAGAAGAAGCCCCGGCUAACUUCGUGCCAGCAGCCGCGGUAAUACGAAGGGGGCUAGCGUUGUUCGGAUUUACUGGGCGUAAAGCGCACGUAGGCGGACUUUUAAGUCAGGGGUGAAAUCCCGGGGCUCAACCCCGGAACUGCCUUUGAUACUGGAAGUCUUGAGUAUGGUAGAGGUGAGUGGAAUUCCGAGUGUAGAGGUGAAAUUCGUAGAUAUUCGGAGGAACACCAGUGGCGAAGGCGGCUCACUGGACCAUGACUGGCGCUGAGGUGCGAAAGCGUGGGGAGCAAACAGG
rnacentral:rRNA from 1 species